UCCACCAACAGUUUGCAGCAUCUCUCCUAGAAUCCAGCCUUCAUUAAAAUCAUUAGAAAGACAAACCCAUACUGUUACAUCAAAAAGUUCUCUCCUUCACUGCUUCACACACAAGCUUUUUUUCUGCUACACUAUUCUUUCCGAGACCCGCCAUCCCCACAGUCGAGACGACCGGAAUAACUUGUUGAUUUAAUAAGCAAUCCCAUAACUUUAGACACAUCUUCCUCCAUUUCUAUGACAAUUUCCGAGCUGUCAAAGAAGGAAUCUGUCUCCUGGUCAGGAUCCCAGCUAACUUCAUGAGUUCUAUUCGCAGAUGUAGUCCCAAACCCACAGCCAACUUACUGAAAGUUUCUUGAUUUCACUGAGGGCUCUAUUAAUAUUUCAUAUCAAAUGCAACAGGAUUGUGUAGUGAAAAGAAAUCCCAUUCCUCUCCCUUCUGCUGGUCUUUGCGAAGCGCCUCAUAAGCAAAAUCGUCUAAAACUUCUUCGGCAUUGUAACCUACGCAUCUUGGAGAACAGCUCCCGACUCGUUUACAUUUUGCAGCUGUCCUUUCAUCCCCACGCAACUCUGAUCCCUUCAGCAGCGAAGGAGCCCACCCUUCCAAUGUCCCCUCCUAGGCAAACUUGAGAAACGCAGCUGCCAUUGUUCUUACUUUGGUUAAAAAACAAAACUUUUUUAUCGCGAAAAUAAGGGGGAAAUGCUCUGAAAUCUUUGGAAUGGUGGUGAAAUGAAAAUUAGGUGUGAUCAGCAACAAAGCAACAUCAACAGGAGAGCAGAGCAGAGUCGGUUCCCUAUAGGAGAUUGCGUGAUGACAGAUUUAUUAAAGGGUGACUCUUAAGAGUGGUUCCAAAGGCACUUUCAGAACAUAUCCCGUAAAUCAAAAACACCGUCGUCGAUUUCUUGGAUGUCCAUUACUUUCAAGGGAGCAAAUGUUCUAGCAACCUCUUGAAGACCUCACAGCAAAUGCAAAGUUGCCCUAGUCAACCUUGUAAUUAGAGAACCUGUUUCCAUGAAUAUUUGUGUUUUUUAUCAAGUUUUUCCCAGGACUCCACCAAUGGGAAUGACUGAUUACCCACAUAAACAUAAUCUACAGAAUCAGUGAACGAAUCUGAGAUUCAUUUAGAUAUAGAAAAA